rnacentral:rRNA from 1 species
GACGAACGCUGGCGGCGUGCUUAACACAUGCAAGUCGAGCGGUAAGGCCCUUUCGGGGGUACGACGAGCGGCGAACGGGUGAGUAACACGUGGGUGACCUGCCCUCAGCUCUGGGAUAAGCCUGGGAAACUGGGUCUAAUACUGGAUAUGACUCCACGGUGCAUGUCGUGGGGUGGAAAGCCUUGUGCGGCUGAGGAUGGGCCCGCGGCCUAUCAGCUUGUUGGUGGGGGUGA